GCCCUUAAAAGCUUGGUGUUAAACAAUGAGCCAGUCAGGAUGGGACAGACCCUGUGCACAUGUUCCCGUGGCUCCAUCACCAUUGAUAACAAAAAGUAUUACUUUGUCCAGAAACUAGACGAAGGUGGGUUCAGUUAUGUUGAUCUGGUUGAGGGUGCAAAGGAUGGGCACUUCUACGCCCUGAAGAGGAUCCUGUGCCAUGACCGUGAAGGCCGCCAGGAGGCUCAGACAGAGGUGGAGAUGCAUCAGAUUUUUAAUCACCCUAAUGUCCUGAGCCUGGUUGCACACACCUUUGUCGAUCGUGGAGGCAAGACUGAAGCGUGGUUACUUCUACCUUAUAUUAGAAAAGGCAGUUUGUGGUCUGUUCUGGAGAAGCUAAGAGACAAGGGGAGCUCAAUGCCUGAAAAACAGGUUUUGCAAAUCUUGCGUGGCAUCUGCUCUGGACUCAAGACUAUUCAUGAAAAAGGCUAUGCACACAGAGACUUGAAGCCCACAAAUGUGCUUCUGGAUGAGGAUGACAGGCCUCUUUUGAUGGACCUGGGCUCGAUGAACCGGGCCAGGAUUGAGGUUAAAGGAACCAGAGAAGCCAUGACCAUACAGGACUGGGCAGCUCAGCGGUGCACCAUUUCCUACAGGGCUCCUGAACUCUUCAAUGUAGAGAGCCACUGCAUUAUAGAUGAGCGCACUGAUAUCUGGUCACUCGGAUGUGUGCUAUACUGCAUGAUGAUGUUGGAGGGGCCAUAUGACAUGGUAUUUCAGAAGGGGGACAGUGUAGCCCUGGCUGUCCAGAAUCCAGUGACUAUCCCACAGUCUUGCAGUUACUCGGAGGGCCUGCAGAUGCUGCUGAGCUCCAUAAUGGUGUCAAAUCCCCAGGAGAGACCAAACAUCAACUGGGUUCUUGACCAGGUACAGGACCUGCAGAGUCGCAGCCCCAACACCCAAACCAACAUGGUGUGAUGCACCUUGAACUGGAUGUGGGGUCCUGGAAACCUUUGCCCACAUCUGAACGCCUAUUAUUUUGAGUUUGAAAAUAUUUCUUUUAUUUAUUGACUUGUGUGUAAAAGCCUAGGGUGCAGACUUUCACUCAGUUUGGGGAGCUUGGCAAAAGUAUCAGUUUUUAAUUUAAAGGAUCCAAUCCGGCCAGCGUGUCACAGUGGACUGACUCUUGUAGUCCUUAUAGACUUGUGUGUACGAAAUAAUCUGAAAGGCCUCUAAUCUAAUUCCAGCCUGUAAUAUAAUGCUUUUGGGAAUGGUCAACUAUUGCUUCUAAUAGGGAAAUGGCUUCGCUUUAUAAUCUUAAAGGGAUGUUUACAAAUUGUAGUUUGCAUUUUUUUAAAGAAAAGGGAUAUCAAAAAAGCUUUGCCAAAUUUUCCGGUGGAUGAAAGCUACCUGAGUUUAAUACAUAUCAGACUUCAUUCCCUAGAAGAAGAAGGAAUAGGGUCCAGUUCCCUUUUUUUUUUUAUCUUGAUUCCUGUGUUUUUUGUGUGUAACAUCUUGUGGUUACACACACAUGUGCUGUAAUCAUCGAUAUACACCUUUGCCUUCAGCUUUUCUUCACGCCUUCUCUCGUACUGUUGGUGUUUACUGGGGGAAAGUUAAGAGGUGUUCCUUUACCUGCUAUGCUGCAUUUAAACACACAGAGGUGCUCCAACAUCACGACUCCACAUAUUGACAUGGUGAUGUUUCUCUACUGUUAAUGUGUGAAUGGGCUCCUUGUAAAGCAGAGGGAAGAGGGUCUGCUUACAUAAGAAGAAAACUAUUCAAGGAGAAGGGGUCAUGUGUUACUGUAACACACCUAAACGGUAAAUAAUCAUUUUCACAAAUGACAUCUUUUUAUUAGUCACGCCAGUGUCAUAUCAACCCUUGCAGUUUAACCUUUACUUUUCACUGUAUUGUCUUUUUAAAUGGCAUUUUCCAUUCCAGCUAUGCUAAAUUCUGUGUUUCCUGUCAUGUUUGAUUGUGGUCUCGCACUGUUGUUCUCUCAGGGUUCCCCCACAUCCUAAAGGGUUUGGCAGUCUGAAGUAGCAGACAUAAACGGUACCUUUCCAAAACAAUUAUUAGAUUAAAAAAAUAUAUUUUUGGGGCUUUUUUUUUUUAGCCUUAAUUUUUGACAAGACAGCUGAAGAUAUGAAAGGGGAGAGAGAAGGGGAAUAACAUGAAAUAAAGGGCCACAGGUCGGAGUUGAACCCCGGCCCGCUGCGUGGAGGAGUAAACCUCUAUACAUGAUCACCUCUACCUAUUGAGCCAUCUGGGCACCCAAAAGUUGGACAUUUAGGUUGAGAUCAACACUUUUAAUGCAGUGCUUGUACACCACAUUUGAACUAAAAAACAAUCUUGAUAAUGACUUAAGUUACUUGAUAGUAUGGUACUUGGCAUACAGUACUGUUCAAAUAUAUUAUCGUUUUAAGCUAAGUUUGGAGAUGUCAACUGAUUUUUAAAUGUUUGUGUUGAUUUCUGUAAGUGUUGACGUGAGUACACAGAUAGGAGUAAGUAAGAGUGAGUUAUUUGAUUAUGGGAAAUUGUUUAACCUCUCAUUCACUGCACAGUAAAGGAUAAAUACACAUUAAUUAUGUAGCACUC